ACAUACUUACUUCAUUUCAGGUUAUUAAAUUGUGUUAAGCAUAAAAGUUAUUUGCCAUUCUUUGCUGCAGCUCAUUUGUUCUUUUCGAUUCUAAGAAAUAUUAGAAGGUUAAAUAACUUAUCACAUAGGAGAGAUUAUUCAUACUACCAAAAUUAGAAUGUGUGUAGUUCUGAGGGACUGAAUGUCAAAAUUGUAUGCUCAUAGCACUAAAACUAUUGGGAAUCUAGGAUGACACUGGAACAUGUAAAAUGGCAGCUAAGGUCUAUGGAAACCCUUCAUGUUUAGAAACUGGCUAAAGCUUGAGUUCUCUUAUCUUUUGGUUAAGGGCACCAUUUUCAGAUAAAAACAUAGACCUGAAUGGCAUCAUCCAGUAUCCAAGGAAACCAUGCUUGCUUGAAGAGUGAGCAGGUGAGCAAAGAGACAAGAUUACAUGUUUAAACCAAGAAAAGAAUCUUGAAAGUAAGUGUAAUGACCAAGAUGCAAAAAUCUGUUUGGGGAAAUUGUUGGAAGGUUGGCACAUUAUUUUCUUUAUCCCCUCCCCACAAACUAAUGUACAUUUCUGCAGCUAAUAUCAAAGUUUUAAUUCAUGUUCAGGAGCUAUGAAAUCUACUGUGGAAAUUUAGUUUCUAAACAACAUGCUACUCUGGAGAAAGACAUUCCUAAAAUAUUUGAAAUUUCUACUAUUACCGUACUUCGACUUUUUUUUUUGUUAUUUGUACUAUCUCCUUUUAAAAUUAAAUUAUUUUCAAUGUGAAAUGAUUAUUCAUUAUUGUUUAUAUACCUUUUCACGAAAACACUUAACAUUUUCUAUAUACUCAUGUAAUUAUAGACCUCGUUUUUUACCUUCUAAAUUCACUAUAUGAUUUACCUACUCUUUAAAUACAGACAUAUUACUUUUCAUUGAGGGUGGUUUCAGAGUUUUUCAUAUAUAUAUUUUUUUGCUUUUGUCACUCGUGUGUAUUUCUACUUUUCCUCUGCAGCAUGGCUCCUUGCUAAGCAUAAAUGGUAGAGAUUAUCUCACAGUUUCUCUGAAGAAUUAGAGAGGUCCUUCAUGUUCAAUAACUAACUGCAGGAGCAUUUCACUUUAUCACAUAAUUAUGUCAAAUUCUAUUGUUUAUGCAUUUGCAUAUUUCUGCCUUUUAAUAUAUGUUACCAAACACAUCUUUCUGAAUUGAGAAAAGUUGUCAGACUAAGGAAUUCGCUGGAACUUUGGAAGGGCCUCCUCACCCAAUAGGAAGACCUGGCUAGGAAUUUAAUUUUUUUU
rnacentral:lncRNA from 1 species